rnacentral:rRNA from 1 species
UUAAGCGACUAAGCGUACACGGUGGAUGCCCUGGCAGUCAGAGGCGAUGAAGGACGUGCUAAUCUGCGAUAAGCGUCGGUAAGGUGAUAUGAACCGUUAUAACCGGCGAUUUCCGAAUGGGGAAACCCAGUGUGAUUCGUCACACUAUCAUUAACUGAAUCCAUAGGUUAAUGAGGCGAACCGGGGGAACUGAAACAUCUAAGUACCCCGAGGAAAAGAAAUCAACCGAGAUUCCCCCAGUAGCGGCGAGCGAACGGGGAGCAGCCCAGAGCCUGAAUCAGUGUGUGUGUUAGUGGAAGCGUCUGGAAAGGCGCGCGAUACAGGGUGACAGCCCCGUACACAAAAAUNNNNNNNNNNNNNNNNNCACAUAUUGUGAGCUCGAUGAGUAGGGCGGGACACGUGGUAUCCUGUCUGAAUAUGGGGGGACCAUCCUCCAAGGCUAAAUACUCCUGACUGACCGAUAGUGAACCAGUACCGUGAGGGAAAGGCGAAAAGAACCCCGGCGAGGGGAGUGAAAAAGAACCUGAAACCGUGUACGUACAAGCAGUGGGAGCACGCUUAGGCGUGUGACUGCGUACCUUUUGUAUAAUGGGUCAGCGACUUAUAUUCUGUAGCAAGGUUAACCGAAUAGGGGAGCCGAAGGGAAACCGAGUCUUAACUGGGCGUUAAGUUGCAGGGUAUAGACCCGAAACCCGGUGAUCUAGCCAUGGGCAGGUUGAAGGUUGGGUAACACUAACUGGAGGACCGAACCGACUAAUGUUGAAAAAUUAGCGGAUGACUUGUGGCUGGGGGUGAAAGGCCAAUCAAACCGGGAGAUAGCUGGUUCUCCCCGAAAGCUAUUUAGGUAGCGCCUCGUGAAUUCAUCUCCGGGGGUAGAGCACUGUUUCGGCAAGGGGGUCAUCCCGACUUACCAACCCGAUGCAAACUGCGAAUACCGGAGAAUGUUAUCACGGGAGACACACGGCGGGUGCUAACGUCCGUCGUGAAGAGGGAAACAACCCAGACCGCCAGCUAAGGUCCCAAAGUCAUGGUUAAGUGGGAAACGAUGUGGGAAGGCCCAGACAGCCAGGAUGUUGGCUUAGAAGCAGCCAUCAUUUAAAGAAAGCGUAAUAGCUCACUGGUCGAGUCGGCCUGCGCGGAAGAUGUAACGGGGCUAAACCAUGCACCGAAGCUGCGGCAGCGACGCUUAUGCGUUGUUGGGUAGGGGAGCGUUCUGUAAGCCUGCGAAGGUGUGCUGUGAGGCAUGCUGGAGGUAUCAGAAGUGCGAAUGCUGACAUAAGUAACGAUAAAGCGGGUGAAAAGCCCGCUCGCCGGAAGACCAAGGGUUCCUGUCCAACGUUAAUCGGGGCAGGGUGAGUCGACCCCUAAGGCGAGGCCGAAAGGCGUAGUCGAUGGGAAACAGGUUAAUAUUCCUGUACUUGGUGUUACUGCGAAGGGGGGACGGAGAAGGCUAUGUUGGCCGGGCGACGGUUGUCCCGGUUUAAGCGUGUAGGCUGGUUUUCCAGGCAAAUCCGGAAAAUCAAGGCUGAGGCGUGAUGACGAGGCACUACGGUGCUGAAGCAACAAAUGCCCUGCUUCCAGGAAAAGCCUCUAAGCAUCAGGUAACAUCAAAUCGUACCCCAAACCGACACAGGUGGUCAGGUAGAGAAUACCAAGGCGCUUGAGAGAACUCGGGUGAAGGAACUAGGCAAAAUGGUGCCGUAACUUCGGGAGAAGGCACGCUGAUAUGUAGGUGAAGUCCCUUGCGGAUGGAGCUGAAAUCAGUCGAAGAUACCAGCUGGCUGCAACUGUUUAUUAAAAACACAGCACUGUGCAAACACGAAAGUGGACGUAUACGGUGUGACGCCUGCCCGGUGCCGGAAGGUUAAUUGAUGGGGUCAGCGCAAGCGAAGCUCUUGAUCGAAGCCCCGGUAAACGGCGGCCGUAACUAUAACGGUCCUAAGGUAGCGAAAUUCCUUGUCGGGUAAGUUCCGACCUGCACGAAUGGCGUAAUGAUGGCCAGGCUGUCUCCACCCGAGACUCAGUGAAAUUGAACUCGCUGUGAAGAUGCAGUGUACCCGCGGCAAGACGGAAAGACCCCGUGAACCUUUACUAUAGCUUGACACUGAACAUUGAGCCUUGAUGUGUAGGAUAGGUGGGAGGCUUUGAAGUGUGGACGCCAGUCUGCAUGGAGCCGGCCUUGAAAUACCACCCUUUAAUGUUUGAUGUUCUAACGUGGACCCGUGAUCCGGGUUGCGGACAGUGUCUGGUGGGUAGUUUGACUGGGGCGGUCUCCUCCUAAAGAGUAACGGAGGAGCACGAAGGUUGGCUAAUCCUGGUCGGACAUCAGGAGGUUAGUGCAAUGGCAUAAGCCAGCUUGACUGCGAGCGUGACGGCGCGAGCAGGUGCGAAAGCAGGUCAUAGUGAUCCGGUGGUUCUGAAUGGAAGGGCCAUCGCUCAACGGAUAAAAGGUACUCCGGGGAUAACAGGCUGAUACCGCCCAAGAGUUCAUAUCGACGGCGGUGUUUGGCACCUCGAUGUCGGCUCAUCACAUCCUGGGGCUGAAGUAGGUCCCAAGGGUAUGGCUGUUCGCCAUUUAAAGUGGUACGCGAGCUGGGUUUAGAACGUCGUGAGACAGUUCGGUCCCUAUCUGCCGUGGGCGCUGGAGAACUGAGGGGGGCUGCUCCUAGUACGAGAGGACCGGAGUGGACGCAUCACUGGUGUUCGGGUUGUCAUGCCAAUGGCACUGCCCGGUAGCUAAAUGCGGAAGAGAUAAGUGCUGAAAGCAUCUAAGCACGAAACUUGCCCCGAGAUGAGUUCUCCCUGACCCUUUAAGGGUCCUGAAGGAACGUUGAAGACGACGACGUUGAUAGGCCGGGUGUGUAAGCGCAGCGAUGCGUUGAGCUAACCGGUACUAAUGAACCGUGAGGCUUAACCUU